AGUCAAGCUACUAAGAGCCGUUGGUGGAUGAUUUGGCGCUUGAUGGCGAUGAAGGACGUGGUAAGCUGCGAUAAGCGCGGGGGAGGUGCAAACAACCUUUGAUCCCGUGAUGUCCGAAUGGGGCAACCCUACUGCUGUGAAGCAGUAAUCGUAAUCUGAAUACAUAGGAUUACGAAGCGAGACGGGGUGAAUUGAAACAUCUUAGUAACCCCAGGAACAGAAAGAAAUUCGAUUCCCCUAGUAGCGGCGAGCGAAAAGGGAAGAGUCUAAACCUCCAAUAUGCCAAGCUUCGGAGCGUUGUAUUGGGGGUGUCGUGGGUGGAAGCGUUCUCGGUCCGAACCGAGAGAGGAAGAUGCAAAUAUUUUUAGUCGAAGGGUCUGGAACGACCUGCCAAAGAUGGUGAUAGUCCAGUAGACGAAAAGAAUAUUUCCUUUUUUGCUUUUUACCCAAGUACUGCUUGAUAAGUGAAACCAAGCAGGAAUCAGGGAAAACCAGUUCCUAAGACUAAAUACAAGCAAGCGACCGAUAGUGAACAAAGUACCGUGAGGGAAAAUUGAAAAGAACCCCUGUUAGGGGAGUGAAAUAGAACCUGAAACCAACAGGCUUACAGGCGGUAGGAGGGCUAUGCACUCGCAAGAGUGAAUGCCUGACUGCAGUGCCUUUUGCAUAAUGAUCCGGCGAGUUAUUCCAUGCGGCAAGGUUAAUCCCGGCGACGGGAGGAGCCGUAGCGAAAGCGAGUCUGAAUAGGGCGUUUAGUCUCAUGGAAUAGACCCGAAUCGGUGUGAGCUAACCAUGACCAGGAUGAAGCGUGGGUAAAACCACGUGGAGGUCCGAACUAGUGUAGGUUGAAAACUGCUUGGAUGAGUUGUGGUUAGGGGUGAAAGGCUUAUCAAACACCGUAAUAGCUGGUUCUCCUCGAAACAUCUUUAGGGAUGGUCUGGCGUAGUAGCAAGCGGAGGUAAAGUACUCAAUGGGCUAGGGAACUUACCCGUUUACCGAACCCAAUGAAACUCUGAAUGCCGCUUGUGUAAUCGCUGGAAUCAGACAGUGGGGGCUAAGCUUCAUUGUCGAAAGGGGAAAAGCCCAGACCGUCAGCUAAGGUCCCUAAAUAUAGGCUAAGUGGUAAAGGAUGUAGGAAUUCUCAGACAACUGGGAUGUUGGCUUAGAGGCAGCCACCAUUUAAAGAGUGCGUAACAGCUCACCAGUCAAGAAAUCCUGCACCGAAAAUGAUCGGGGCUCAAGCCUAUUACCGAAGCUACGGAUGUAAGUUCUCUUCGGAGCAACUUGCGUGGUAGAGGAGCAUUCCUUCUGGAUUGAAGCGGAACCGACAAGGAUCCGUGGACCGAAAGGAAGAGAUUAUGCCGGAAUGAGUAGCGAUAAAACAGGUGAAAAACCUGUUCGCCAUAAACCCAAGGUUUCCCGGGGAAGGUUAAUCCGCCCGGGGUUAGUCGGUCCUAAGUCGAGGCCGGAGAGGCGUAGAUGAUGGACAGCAGGUUAAAUAUUCCUGCACCAUUGAUGUUGCGUUAUCAAUGCAGUAGGUGCGCAGAAGGCUAGGCAAUCGCACGAUUGGAUGUGUGCGUCCAAGCCUGUAGCUGCAUCCGUAAGGGUGCGGUGAGAGGGGUUAGGGAGCUCAACCUACGGGAAGAGCGAACUUGCUAACGCCACGCUGCCGAGAAAAGCCAAUUGCGUGAGUAAUGUCAGUGACCGUACCGUAAACGGACACACGUGGGAAGGGUGAGAAUCCUAAGGCGCUCGAGUUAAUCCUCGCUAAGGAACUAGGCAAAAUAGCCCCGUACCUUCGGUAUAAGGGGUGCCUGAGUAGGGUGAACCGUACAGGGGAGCCCAAAAAGGUCGCAGUGAAUUGGGCCAGGCGACUGUUUAACAAAAACACAGCGCUCUGCUAAGUCAAGAAGACGACGUAUAGGGCGUGACAUGUGCCCGGUGCCGGAAGGUCAAGCGGAGGCGUCAUCCCGUAAGGGAGAAGCGCCGAAGUUAAGCCCCGGUAAACGGCGGCCGUAACUAUAACGGUCCUAAGGUAGCGAAAUUCCUUGUCGGGUAAGUUCCGACCUGCACGAAUCAUGUAACGAUCUGGCCGCUGUCUCGGCGAGUAACUCGGUGAAAUUGUAGUAGCGGUGAAGAUGCCGCGAUCCCGCAACUAGACGAAAAGACCCCGUGCACCUUUACUGUAAGCUGGUAUUGCAUUUUGGUUAUGUUUGUAGAGCUUAGCCGGGAGACUAUGAAAGCGAGGCGCUAGCUUCGCUGGAGUCAUCAGUGGAAUACCGGUCUAACAAAACUAGAAUGCUAACCUUAACCUGUGAAGCCAGGUGGGGAACAGUGCCAGCCGGGCAGUUUGACUGGGGCGGUCGCCUCCCAAAGAGUAACGGAGGCGUUCAAAGGUUGGCUUAGUGCGGUUGGCAAUCGCACGGUAAGGGCAAACCCAAAUAGCCAGCUUAACUGCGAGACCCACAAGUCGAGCAGAUGCGAAAGCAGGAGUUAGUGAUCCGGUGGUAGAAUUUGGAAUCGCCAUCGCUCAUCGGACAAAAGGUACGCCGGGGAUAACAGGCUUAUCUCCCCCAAGAGUUCACAUCGACGGGGAGGUUUGGCACCUCGAUGUCGGCUCAUCACAUCCUGGGGCUGGAGAAGGUCCCAAGGGUUCGGC
rnacentral:rRNA from 1 species